GCCCCUAUAGCGCAGUCGGUAGUACACGUGGCGCCGAACCCACGUGGCGUGUAGGUUCGACCCCCACACGUGGCA